UGAGGAAUAUUGGACAAUGGGCGAAAGCCUGAUCCAGCCAUGCCGCGUGAGUGAUGAAGGCCUUAGGGUUGUAAAGCUCUUUCGAUGGUGAAGAUAAUGACGGUAACCAUAGAAGAAGCCCCGGCUAACUUCGUGCCAGCAGCCGCGGUAAUACGAAGGGGGCUAGCGUUGUUCGGAAUCACUGGGCGUAAAGCGCACGUAGGCGGAUAUGUAAGUCAGAGGUGAAAGCCCAGGGCCUAACCUUGGAACUGCCUUUGAAACUACAUAUCUAGAGACUCGGAGGGGAUAGCGGAAUUCCAAAUGUAGGGGUGAAAUCCGUAGAUAUUUGGAGGAACACCGGUGGCGAAGGCGGCUAUCUGGACGAGUACUGACGCUGAGGUGCGAAAGCGUGGGGAGCAAA
rnacentral:rRNA from 1 species